UAUAAAUAUAAUGUUAUGAUGUAGAAAAUAAUAAUCAAAAUCAUUUUAUACUUCUCAGUGAUGAGGUUAUGGUGAUUGCUUCUUUAUACUUCUAUUUUCAAAUGUUCUACAGUUAGCAUAUAUCAAAAAAAUAUUACUAUAUAAUAUGCUUUUCUGAUUAACUGUUCAUUGGAAAUGUAUGUUUUAACGUCUGGUUUAUCUUAAAAUGUCUAAGCCUUUUUUAAGUAAAAGCAUAAAACAGUUUUAACAUAAAUCUUUCGGUUCUAAAUUAAGUAAUUUUAGAGUACCACAAGAAAAUAAUUUCAUUCCUUAAAAAAAUAUUUAAAUAAAACUUGCUAUUUCUCCCCACCCACUUCUAACAAAUGUCUCUGCUUUCAGACAAACACACCUCAUACCAAUAUGGUCUAUAUUAUCAGAUAAAUUCUUUUGUAAGGAAGAAAAAAAAAUAUCUUGCUCUUACAUCUCAAUUCUUUGCACACUAUUCUUAAGAACAAUGCCAAUAAGAACAAAUUCUAAAAAUGCAGAUCAUAGUUCAGAGACCUAAUUAAUCUGAAAUUGGACAAUUUUCUAGACAAAGAACAAUAAAUUUUUUGUCCUCUAAGAUCAGAAAGCAUAAUAAAUAUUCAAACAUGACAACUUAUAUUUAGAACCUAAUCUUGUUGAUAGUUAUAAUGUCCAGACAUAUGUUAGAGCCUAUAAACAUUUAAAAACUAAACUAACCCAAGAACUUAGCUUUUCACAGGUUAAACAAGCUUUGUUUGAUUCAAUGCAAAUAAUCAACUAAAGCUUUUAAUUUAUAAUACAGACAAAAAGAUUAUUUGACAAGUAGUGGUUAUAAGCAAAGAUAACCAAAGUAACCACAAGGUAUCCCCCCAAAAUUUAUUUUUAUAAAGUGUUUAGAUAAGAAUAGAUACAUGAAAAUGGCAGCUUGAAGACAAUGUUUUCCUAGGCAGUGGAAAAUCAGGAUUUAACUUAAGGUAAUCUUUUUUCCAAAGUUAAUAGAUAGAAAAAGUCACUUUUAUGUAGAAAGUUCAUAAAAACAACUCUGCUAUAAGAAAUAACUUUAGUCCUGAUUUGAUUCAAAAUGUCAUCAGAAUAUUCAGUGAAACCCCUACUCUGAAGAGAUGCCUUCACCAUCUUUGUGAGGGAGAGAUAACACAAUACUGUUUGAUCUUUCACUUUCUCAGACAUAUUAAGAUCACUUACCUUAUAGAAUGCACUUUGGGGAAUGUGAGAUCUGUACAAUAUGGUCCCUGUAUUCAAGCAGUAUUAUAAUUUUAUAAGGGAGAAAUGUUAAAGUUAUCUGUACACAUUCCUAAGUCAGAAUUUAUUAAGAACUAUAAGAGAGGCAUAAAAACAAGCCAUCCUCAGGGUCUGUGGCAGCCUGACCCUGCCAGGCCAUUUCCUGCUGGAACAAGUUCGUUCCUGACUGCCCUCAACCCCCAAGGACUCUCCAGCUAACAUCAGUUUUCUCAUAGCUUGUCAACCAGUCAGUGUUCUUCCUUAUAUCUGUAGCUGUGUAGGCAUGACAAGACUGUAUAAAACUGCCUGUUAUGUUACAAUCGGGGCUCGGCCUUUGGAUAAGAAUCCGCUGAGCCAGUGCCGGCAUCAAUAAACACGGCUUCCCGCUUAUAGCCUCGGUGUCCCGUCUCUGUUCGAGAACCCCGCAACAUUUCUGAGGGCUCAUCCAGGAUCCAGAGACAGCGGUUUUUCACCUCCCUUGCCUUCAGGGUCUGGCCCCCGGGACACUGUGAGAAGCAGACUUCACCUGGCGCCAGCAGACCUGUUGUCUGUAGGGUAGGACAACUCUUUCAGCAGACUCCAAGACCACAACGGAACCUGGAGAGGCACAGGAAUCAGCCCAGGAGCACCACCUGACUGUCCCUUAGAUGAAUGGGACCCCAAGUACUCUCCUCAAGAAGCAGCCUGGUUUAAGACUAAAGAGGGAGCCUCCUCUCCAGUGGAUGGUGGAAGUUCAAGGACAGAUGAACUGCAGUCCCUGGGAGCCUAGCCCCAGCUUUUGUCAAACACUUUCACCAAAGGACUCACCUUGGUGGCACUGCUCUAGAAACCACUCUGGGCUGGUACUUCUAUGUCUCCCAGAUCUCUAGCAUCUUCCAAGCCCUGUGUGAAUGGUGCGAAGCCUGUGCCUGCAACAACCCCAGGCAAGGGCCGUGUGCCCCACCGUGGGUCCAAAGUGUCAGUGGCACCCCCUUUGAGGAACUCAAAGUAGAUUUCACUGAAAUGCCUUGAUCAUAGGGCCUCAAGUAUCUCUUGGUCUUUGUUUGCACCUAUUCCGGUUGGAUAAAGUCUUACCCCACCUGGACUGAGAUGGCCCCAGACUGCUCCUCUGAGAAAUUGUUCCACGAUUUGGCCUACCAGUCACCACUGGCUCAGAUAAUGGGCCAGCCUUUGUAGCAGAAAUAGUGCAGCUACUAGCCAAGAAUUUAAAUUUAAAUGGAAAUUGCAUACCACCUAUCAACCACAGAGUUCGGGACAGGUGGAAUGCGUGAACAGGACCCUUAAGACUCAGUUAAGAAAACUAUGUCAGGAGACACAUCUACAUUGGGACGAAGUCCUCCCCAUGGCACUAUUAAGAAUCAGGUCAGCCCCAAGGCACCCUCACCAUAUUAUCCAGUACUAUGGCCCCACAACUUGGGCCCAAGGUGGGAGCUGGGGUUAUCGGACCCCUAUAUAUAUAAAGUGGAUUGACAGAUUACAAGCAGUUCUUGGAUCGUAACCAGUGAGAAUGCUACUGCCUUAGAGCUUCUAGCCAGGCAACAAUCCCAGAUGUAGUCAGCUUUCUACCAAAACCGCUUAGCCUUAGAUUAUCUAGAUUAUCUAUUAGCAAAAGAAGGAGAAAUGUGUGGAAAGUUUAACCAGACUGAUUGUUGCCUCAAAAUAGAUGACAAUGGCAAAGCUAUGACUGUCAUAGCUACUGAUAUUAGGAAAAUAGCUCACGUGCCCGUCCAAAGUUGGAAAAAAUGGGACCCUAGUAACCUCUUUGGAGGCUGGUUCUCCACUUUUGGUAGCUUUAAUACCUUAGUUGGGAUAGUACUCUUCCUCAGGACCUCCCUCCUCCCAAGCCUAUUGCCUCUUUUUAUCUGGUCAACCACCUCCUUCACAGAGGCUAUAGUAGAAACAAAAACUGCAACAAAAGUCCUCAUGCUAUGGAGAUACAGGCUUUAAACCAAAAAUUAGAAGGAGAUGAUGCUCUCUGACCCAAUCCUGGGUCCGAGCAUCAAAGUGGGGAAUGUGGCAGCCUAACCCUGCCCUGCCAUUUCCUGCUGGAACAAGUUCGUUCCUGACUGCCCCCACUCCCUUCCAAGGACUCUCCAGCUAACAACAGUCUUCUCACAGUUUGUCAACCAAUCAAUGUUCUUGCUUUUAUCUGUAGCUGUGUAGGAAUGACAAGACUGUAUAACACUGCCCUUUGUGUUACAAUCGGGGCUCAGUCUGGAUAAGAAAAUGCUGAGCCGGUGCCGGCAUCGAUAAACGCUGCUUUCUGCUUAUA